rnacentral:rRNA from 1 species
CUAUCUUAGUGGCGGACGGGUGAGUAACGCGUGGGUAACCUGCCUUGCACUGGGGGAUAACACUUAGAAAUAGGUGCUAAUACCGCAUAACAGUAGGAGACGCAUGUCUUUUACUUGAAAAUUCCGGUGGUGUAAGAUGGACCCGCGUCUGAUUAGCUUGUUGGCGGGGUAACGGCCCACCAAGGCAACGAUCAGUAGCCGGCCUGAGAGGGUGAACGGCCACAUUGGGACUGAGACACGGCCCAAACUCCUACGGAAGGCAGCAG